rnacentral:rRNA from 1 species
CCUACGGGUGGCAGCAGUGAGGAAUAUUGGUCAAUGGGCGCGAGCCUGAACCAGCCAAGUCGCGUGAGGGAAGACGGUCCUAUGGAUUGUAAACCUCUUUUGUCGGGGAGCAAAAGACGCCACGCGUGGCGUUCCGCGAGUACCCGAAGAAAAAGCAUCGGCUAACUCCGUGCCAGCAGCCGCGGUAAUACGGAGGAUGCGAGCGUUCUCCGGAUUUAUUGGGUUAAAAGGGAGGGGAGGCGGAAGAUCAAGUCAGCGGUAAAAUUUUGAGGCUCAACCUCUUCGAGCCGUUGAAACUGGUUUUCUUGAGUGAGCGAGAAGUAUGCGGAAUGCGGGGUGUAGCGGUGAAAUGCAUAGAUAUCACGCAGAACUCCGAUUGCGAAGGCAGCAUACCGGCGCUCAACUGACGCUCAUGCACGAAAGUGUGGGUAUCGAACAGGAUUAGAUACCCCAGUAGUC